ACAGUGCGCGUAGUAUCCAUUAUACGGUUGUAUCGGUUUCAAUUUUCUACCGCCGGCCAUCCAGGGAACGAUAACUCGUGUGAAUUCCGUCGGCCGUUCUUUUCUCGCCGCCGCCGCUCCGUCGUCACCGUCGCCGUCGUAGACUCUCGCGGAAUUCGGUCCAACAUAUAUUAUUAUCGUGUAAUACGGUGCAGCGGCGCAAAUCUAUACACACGAAUAACGCUCGGGGGAAUUUUCGCUCUCCGGCCACUUAAACCGGAGACCCCAGAUGCCAAAUUGAAUUCCGGUUCCGUUUAAUUGGUUCCGCG